GUUGCCUGGCAACAAGAGGUAGUGAGGCUUAUCAGGAAGUAGAAGUGUUUGCUCAGUGGCCCCAGCCGAGCAGAGCAUCCCUUGAAGUGUGUGUGGGAGCAUUUGAGAAGUACAGGGCAUUCCUUUUUGUGUGGUCAGGACUACUGCCAUUUGUGCUAAGAGACUAACAGAAUUAGCCCAUCUGUGGAGGCCUCAUAACUGCCUCCUGCUGCCAGUCUUCUGCACCGGAGGAUGAGAGAGGAGACAUGUUUCCAUGGUGAUUUUGUAGAAUUUCUGGUUGCUUUGAAAAAAUAUUCAGAAAUGAAAUGAGCAUAGACUUUUCAGUUGGAGGCCUGCUCCAAGGCCUUUGCCCCACACCUUCAUAACUCAAGCACAGCAGUUUAUCGUUGUGUCUUACCUUCAUGUCUCAACUUCAUGUUCUCAUGUGCUGAAACAGGAGCCCAUGCGAGUCUGUCCCUGCCCGCUGAGCAGAAGCCCCGUGGCAGGCAGGACGGCAGGAUUUUUCAGUUUCAGGUCCUAACCUCCAGGGCCGAACUGCAUCUUCCUUUCUGAAGACCAUACCAGAACCUGUCAUAGCAGUUGAUAUUCUGGGCCCACUAGAACAGAGGUCCUUAGUGCUCGUCAGAGGACUUCCUGUUGUGGAGCUCUUCACUGCCUGAGGUGCCUUGUCUUGGAGGAGCCAUUGAAUUCUGCCUCUCUAACCUGCUCGAGCUGCUUAGAGGGCUGCUCUUAUGGUGGAUUUGUUCAUGACAAUGGUGACUGACAUGCUCUGUAUGAAGGGGAGCCUCCUCUGAGAUGUCCACUCGGGUUUCCACCAUUUGGGGGAUGGUGUGGUUGGGGCUUACAAAACUAAACCCUCAAUAAUUAAAGAUCUUUAAGGCA